UACGUAGGAUCCAAGCGUUAUCCGGAAUUACUGGGCGUAAAGCGUGCGCAGACGGUUUGAUAGGUCAGUUGCGAAAUCCCGUGGCUCAACCAUGUGGACGGUAAUUGAAACCAUCUGACUAGAGGUCGGUAGAGGCAAGUGGAAUUUCUGGUGUAGGGGUGACAUCCGUAGAUAUCAGAAGGAACACCAAUGGCGAAGGCAGCUUGCUGGGCCGUACCUGACGUUCAGGCACGAAAGCGUGGGGAGCAAACAGAAUUAGAUACUCUGGUAGUCCACGCCGUAAACGAUGAUCACUAGUGGUAUGGGGCUUCGACCCCCUGUGUCACGUAGCUAACGCGUUAAGUGAUCCGCCUGGGGAGUACGAACGCAAGUUUAAA
rnacentral:rRNA from 1 species